rnacentral:rRNA from 1 species
GACUGCUGGAGCGCUUAGAAGUGAGAAUGCCGGUAUGAGUAGCGAAAGACAGGUGAGAAUCCUGUCCACCGAAUGACUAAGGUUUCCUGGGGAAGGCUCGUCCGCCCAGGGUUAGUCGGGACCUAAGCCGAGGCCGACAGGCGUAGGCGAUGGACAACAGGUUGAUAUUCCUGUACCCGUUGUUUUUGUUUGAGCAAUGGAGGGACGCAGGAGGCUAAGAAGUGCAGACUGAUGGAUAUGUCUGUUCAAGCAGUAAGUCUUGGUAGGAGUCAAAUGCUUCUACCUAUACGGACAAGCUGUGAUGAGGAGGGAAAUAAUAGUACCGAAGCUUCUGAUGUCACACUGCCAAGAAAAGCUUCUAGUGAGAAAACAACGGCCCGUACCGCAAACCGACACAGGUAGUCGAGGAGAGAAUCCUAAGGUGAGCGAGAGAACUCUCGUUAAGGAACUCGGCAAAAUGACCCCGUAACUUCGGGAGAAGGGGUGCUGCUCUAACGAGCAGCCGCAGUGAAUAGGCCCAAGCGACUGUUUAUCAAAAACACAGGUCUCUGCAAAAUCGAAAGAUGACGUAUAGGG